UGUCCUUGUAGCUCAGCUGGAUAGAGCGUAUGAUUCCUAAUCGUAAGGUCGUGGGUUCGAAUCCCGCCAAGGACACCA
rnacentral:tRNA from 2 species